rnacentral:lncRNA from 1 species
UUUUUAUACGCCCUUCGUCUUUUAGACGGGACGUAUUAUGGUAUACCGUUGUCCGUCCGUCCGUCCGUCUGUCCGUCCGUCCGUCGUCCACACUUCGGACAAUAACUCAAAAACACUUUCACCAAUUUCCAUGAAACUUAAGUGAAUUGUUUAUAUCUAUUGACGUAAGCUCCCUUUCGUUUUUUUUUUAAUUUCAGAUUUUAAGUUUUGGAUUUAUGGGGCUUUAUUCAUAAAAUAGGGGGGAUUUUCAACACUUCGGACAAUAACUCAAAAAGGCUUUCACCAAUGUCCAUGAAACUUUGGUGAAUUGUUUAUAUCUAUUGAUGUAAGCUCCCUUUCAAUUUUUAUAAAUUUCAGAUUUUAAGUUUUGGAU